GAUGAACGCUGGCGGCGUGCCUAAUACAUGCAAGUCGAGCGAAUGGAUUAAGAGCUUGCUCUUAUGAAGUUAGCGGCGGACGGGUGAGUAACACGUGGGUAACCUGCCCAUAAGACUGGGAUAACUCCGGGAAACCGGGGCCAAUACCGGAUAACAUUUUGAACCGCAUGGUUCGAAAUUGAAAGGCGGCUUCGGCCGUCACUUAUGGAUGGACCCGCGUCGCAUUAGCUAGUUGGUGAGGUAACGGCUCACCAAGGCAACGAUGCGUAGCCGACCUGAGAGGGUGAUCGGCCACACUGGGACUGAGACACGGCCCAGACUCCUACGGGAGGCAGCAGUAGGGAAUCUUCCGCAAUGGACGAAAGUCUGACGGAGCAACGCCGCGUGAGUGAUGAAGGCUUUCGGGUCGUAAAACUCUGUUGUUAGGGAAGAACAAGUGCUAGUUGAAUAAGCUGGCACCUUGACGGUACCUAACCAGAAAGCCACGGCUAACUACGUGCCAGCCGCCGCUGUAA
rnacentral:rRNA from 1 species